UACGUAGGGGGCAAGCGUUGUCCGGAAUCAUUGGGCGUAAAGAGCGUGUAGGCGGUUCAGUAAGUCUGCUGUGAAAGUCCAGGGCUCAACCCUGGGAUGCCGGUGGAUACUGCUGGGCUAGAGUACGGAAGAGGCGAGUGGAAUUCCCGGUGUAGCGGUGAAAUGCGCAGAAAUCGGGAGGAACACCUAUUGCGAAGGCAGCUCGCUGGGACGUUACUGACGCUGAGACGCGAAAGCGUGGGGAGCAAACAGG
rnacentral:rRNA from 1 species